AUUGAACGCUGGCGGCAGGCUUAACACAUGCAAGUCGAGCGGGGGAAGGUAGCUUGCUACCGGACCUAGCGGCGGACGGGUGAGUAAUGCUUAGGAAUCUGCCUAUUAGUGGGGGACAACAUCUCGACAGGGAUGCUAAUACCGCAUACGUCCUACGGGAGAAAGCAGGGGAUCACUUGUGACCUUGCGAUAAUAGAUGAGCCUAAGUCGGAUUAGCUAGUUGGUGGGGUAAAGGCCUACCAAGGCGACGAUCUGUAGCGGGUCUGAGAGGAUGAUCCGCCACACUGGGACUGAGACACGGCCCAGACUCCUACGGGAGGCAGCAGUGGGGAAUAUUGGACAAUGGGGGGAACCCUGAUCCAGCCAUGCCGCGUGUGUGAAGAAGGCCUUAUGGUUGUAAAGCACUUUAAGCGAGGAGGAGGCUUACCUAGUUAAUACCUGGGAUAAGUGGACGUUACUCGCAGAAUAAGCACCGGCUAACUCUGUGCCAGCCGCCGUAACAC
rnacentral:rRNA from 1 species